AUAGGCAGGGACACCUCCCUCCAGCCCAGGUUGCUCACAGCCCCAUCCAGCCUGGCCUGCAGUGCUCCCAGGGAGGGGGUGAACGAUCAGGACCUGUGAAAAACUGUAUCUUGAAGAUGCAGAAAGGUCUGACUAUGGGUUUCCACUGCAGGACUAGCAACUAACUGGCAUUUGUGUGCUGGUGGUCCCUGCCCUGUGGACAUACAGUUAAAAAGCUCCAGAGGAGUUGUUGUUCCUUGUGCAAAGAGAAGACCUUUCCUUUGGCUCAGAGCUGGCAUCACUGCAUCAGUUGAGUGGUUACCUGGAUUGGAAGAUGGUAAAAGCAAUUGCUGCUGGGCUUUUUUUGUACAGCAGAAAGAGGUCGCAAUCUUCCCUGUGGACUGUGGUGGUUAUUCCCCCAAACUUAUGCCUUUUGCCAGCUUGGUGAUAGAACUUCGGGGUUUCAGUGGAGCAGGUGUCAAAGCACACAGCCAAGGAAUGGAGCUGAAGGCAUAAUUCUUAGUCUGAGACGUUAACUAUGGGCACAGUUGUAAUCUGAGAAAAUCAUGAAUGUCACCAAUGCAUUCUGGUAAAGUGAUAGCUAUAAAAUGAAAGAUUUAAAGGAAGCAAUCAUAAUGGUUAACAGCAGUAUGAAAAAGCUUAAACAUGUUCAUAAAUUUCAAUAACUGCUGAGCAAUAUACUGGAUUCAUCUAGGAGAGAUUUAAUUUGAAAAAUGCUAAAUAGGAGGAACAGACUGGAAACAGACAUUCCUCCUGAAGAUGAAGCCUUUUGGUGAGAAAUUUACAUUGCACUUCAGCUGAAGCGAUACUAAAUGUGAGUACAAUGUGUUAGAAAAGGAAUUAUAAAAUAAAUUGUGGAAGGAGGUUUUUAAAUUUGCACGUUAAGGAAAAAAAGCUUUAUUUUGUAUUCUCACUUCAGAUGAUGAUCGUGUCUUGAUGUAUAAGUGCCCAUGCAUGCUGAAAUAAAUG
rnacentral:lncRNA from 7 species